UCCUAGCUACUCAGGAGGCUGAGGCAGAAGAAUCACUUGAACCUGGGAGGUAGAGGUUGCAAUGAGCCAAGACCACAUCAUUGCACUCCAGCCUGGGCAACAAGAGCGAAACUCAGUCUCAAAAAAAAAAAAAAGCUGGGGGCAGGGGGGUGGAUAUUACAGAGGAUACAGAUGAACCGCCAGAUGGAAGAGAUGCAUAGGGCAAGGGAUGUGGGAAGGUCCACGGACCUUUCAUGCCCUCUCUGGACUCACUACCAUCCGGGAACCACCAAGUGUUCAGCUGUGUGGAAGCUGUCUGAACCCACCCAGCCCUUUGGUUGUUGUCGUUAUUGUUGUUUUUGAGAAACAAGGUCUUGCUCUGUCCCCCAUGCUGGAGAACAGUGGUGCAGUCUUGGCUCACUGCAGGCCCAACCUCCUGGCCUCAAGUGAUCCUCCCUUCUCAGCCACCCUUAGUGCUGGGAUCACAGGAGCCAGCCACCACACCCAGCCACAGUGGGGUUUUUAUGGAGGCUUCAUCACAGAGGCAUGAUCAUCAUUGGCCCUUGGUGAUCAACUCAACCUUCAUCUCCUCUCCCCUCCCAGGAGUUUUGAGGAUGGAGAUGAAAUUCCCAACCUUCUAAUCCUGUCUGGUUUUCUGGUGACCAGCUUCCAUCCAGAAGCUACCUAGGGGCAGCCAGCUAACAGUCAUCUCAUUAGCAUAUAAAAGAUACUUUGAUCACUUCAGAGGCUAUUCCAAGGGUUGCAGGAGCUUCUUGCCAGGAGACAGGACAAAAACCAAAUAUAUAUUUCACAAUAUCAAACCAGGUGACAUUACUCCAGAUAAAAUUGACUCUGGAUUGGUAAACAAACUGCAUCUGGACUGGAGGACUGAGUAAACUAUGACUGGCUGGUAGGAAGCCAUGGAUUGGGGUUUUCUGAGCACAUUGCCACUCAGUGAUAAGUAACUGGGCCCAUCUUUUGCUGGGAUCCUCGAAGCCAUGCCACUGGGACCAUUACAAGAGAUACUGGUCUAUGGAACAGGUUAGGGCUUCCAAGCAACAUCAUCCUAGCACUCAGCAGUGUGGUUUUGUUCCCCAGCACCGGAGCUAUCACGAGGGAGGGGCAGAUUGGGCUAACAGCUCCUGGAUUGCUCUGAGAAGCCCUCCUGCUGGAGAAGCCUGCCUGUCCCCACCCUCUGGCACGCUGGCUUUCCUGCCCCUCUCCUGCACAGCUGGGUAAACUGGUGCCACUGUGGCUGAUUUGGGCCUUAUGGGUGCAGCGAGUGGCUUGAAUUGAAGGCCACCAAGUGUGGGCGUGACAGGAUGGGAUCUGGAGCAGAAACAGGCGGGUUAUUAGUCUUUGCAAGGAAUUGGGGCGCUUGUAGAAGUGAGUUCUUGUUUGGUGGUGACAAGGCCAAGCACAGACCUUUCCCCUUUUGCUUCAGUCAGCUGCCCAGGCCACAAACCUCUGGCUUCCUGUUCUUUGUUUCAUGAUUGAUUAGCUAUGUUUAGAACUGUUUGUUGUAGCUCUGUGUCCCCUGUGAAGGCUGCUCUGUCAGCCCCAGGCAGGAUUGACUUCCUCCUUUGUGGACCACCCGGACCCCUUCCUACAUCUGUCACUGUCCCUGUGAGGCAGGCUUCCUCCCUGCCUCUGUUUCAUCUAUGAGUGUCUUGAGUGUCUUAAGUGUCACUUUUCUCCCUCCACUAAACUGAAGCUCCUUGAGUUCAAGAGGUGUGGUUUUGUAUCAAUCUUUACUUCACAGGACUUACCAGCCCGGCCUCUGUUCAGUAAACAUGUGUUGAAUGAAUGAAUUUCCAGGGUAAAAUAUUUCUCAUACCCUAUCUGUUUCUCCUAUAAAGUUCAAAAUGAUUUUAGUCAUAUAGAUACUCUAUGUAAUAUACUAUGCCAAACUGACUAGUGACUGGCAUAAGAACAAUUAUAUGAGAAAGGCCAGGCCGGGCGCGAUGGCUCACGCCUGUAAUCCCAGCACUUUGGAAGGCUAAGGCGGGCAGAUCACAAGGUCAGGAGUUCGAGACCAGCCUGGCCAAUAUGGUGAAACUCCGUCUGUACUAACAAUACAAAAAUUAGCCGGGCGUGGUGGCGGGCUCCUGUAGUCCCAGCUACUCGGGAGGCUGAGGCAGGAGAAUCGCUUGAACCCGGGAGGCAGAGGUUGCAAUGAGCCAAGAUUAUGCCACUGCACUCCAGCCUGGGCGACAGAGCAAGACUCGGUCUC
rnacentral:lncRNA from 1 species